GACGAACGCUGGCGGCGUGCUUAACACAUGCAAGUCGAACGGAAAGGCCCCUUUGGGGGUACUCGCGUGGCGAACGGGUGAGUAACUCGUGCGUAACUUGCCCUUGCCUUCGGGUUAGCUACCGUCAACUGGGGCUAGUACCGGCCAGGAAUCCUUGCUGCCUGCAGGGGGUUGGAAAGCUUCGGCGGUUUUGGAUGGACUUGCGGCCUAUCUGCUUGGUUGUGGGGUAGUGGCUUACCAAGGCUUUGUCGGGUAGGCGGCCUGGGAGGGCGACCGGCCACAAUGGGAACGAGAUUAGGCCCAGGCUCCUACGGGGGGGAACAGGGGGGAAUAUUGCACAAUGGGCGGGAGCCUGAAGCAAGAAAGGCGCGUGCGGGAUGACGGGCUUCGGGUUGGAAACCGGUUUCAGCAGGUGCGAAGCUGGGGGUGACGGUACCGGCAGAAGAAGCACCGGCUAACUACGUG
rnacentral:rRNA from 1 species